CAUAGCACCUCCUUCGGAACCUUGUCAUACGCCUUCUCCAAGUCGAUAAGCACCAUAUGCAGGUCCUUCUUCUGAUCCCUGAAUUGUUCCGCCAGCCGCCUGACAAAACGAAAAUUUACCGGGCGGAGAGGACUUGUUGUAGGUGUAAAAUAAAUAAAUAAAAAUGUUUAUUAUUUCAUAUCUAUCUGAGCCUAGGUGGACAGUGAACCUAGAUGGACAGUGUUAUCUGAUGAUAUCUGUACUGGUGGGAUACAGGAGAUAGUUAAGGUGUGCCCAAGCUGCUCGAAUACCACCAGCAUAAUUUUUUUAUUUUUUAUUAGCGAAGGUGUUCCGAUUAGCUCGUGCGCACCUUGACUAAUUCCAAAAGGUACGCUCUACUUCCACUAGCAUUUCAUAUAUCAUACAUUUCAUAUAAUUUAAUAAUAAAAAUCAGUUUACAGCUCCAUCUGAUAUCUGUACUGGUGGGAUGCAGGAGAUAGUUAAGGUGUGUGCAAGCUGCUCGAAUACCACCAUCAUAAUUUUUUUAUUUUUUAUUACCGAAGGUGUCGCGAUUAGCUAGUGCGCACCUUGACUAAUUCCAGAAGCUACGAUCUACUUCCACUAGCAUUUCAUAUAAUUUAAUAAUAAAAAUCAGUUUACAGCUCCAUCAAAAACAAAUUCAGGAAUAUAUAAGAGUAUAUACAUGUAAAAAUAUAUCAUGCAUUUAUAUCGAUGAUCAACGUGAAGCUAAGCCCUAACUAAAUGAAUUAAGCAUAAUGACUGAGUUUUUCGAACAGUUCACCUCAACCGCCGGCGAAUUCCCCGGGAUGAAUUUCCGGUGAAAUCAGUCUGAGAGUCUUUUGAGUUCAGACUUUUUCCUAAAUUCUCUCAGAAAAUGAAAAGAAGAAUUAAGUUUGACGAGUG
rnacentral:lncRNA from 1 species